rnacentral:rRNA from 12 species
CUUUGCACUUGACCCCAGUCAAGCCAGAACUUGUCUGCCCUCAGGAGGCAAGGAGGGUUGGACCUGGUUAAUACUUGAAUGGGAGACUGCCUUGGAAUACCAGGUGCUGCAAGCA